GUGGGAGCGCUCCGACUCCGGCCGUGGCCGCGGCGCCGCCCGGCGGGUCCGGCUCCGGUAGGUGAGGGAAUCUGGCGAGAUGGGGCCGAAAGCACCACCCUUGUGACUGGACACCGCCAGAGAGGCAUCCCCGGAUGGUGCUGAGGCCCACGAAGGCUGCUCUGUUUUUUUCUGGUGUUUUUUUUUUUUUUUUUUUUUUUUGUUUGUUUUCCCGUGUUGAGCGUUUUUUAACGUUUUUGUUUAUUGGCUUUGUUCAGUCUGAUAAACUUUACAGCUCUUCCUUCUUGCUUCCCUGAUUUUUGUAUUAUCCAAGCGAUUUUUUAGCUUAACAAAGUUGGAUACACCACUUAUUUCCCUCCUGUCCUAGUAGGGGAGUGUUCCAGGUGACGUCGCACCAGCACAGAGCGGAGGGCAGGAUCACUUCUCUCAACCUGCUGGCCAGUUUUCGACACAGCCGAGGAUCCGGUUGCCUUUCUGGGCUGGACAAACACGAACCCACCCAAGUGGCAGAAGGGAAGCAUUGCAUCAAGGCAUUCACUGGACUGACUUUGCCUUCAACAGAGUACCUGGGAUCAGGUAUUGCAUGGAACAUCUGACAUAUCUGAUGCAAAUAACUGUCUGAAGGUGUCCCUGAACACUGCCUACCCCAGAAGGACAAAAAAAUUGACCUCAGAGUGGCUAAAAGGAGUGAAUCCUGUCCCACUCUAACUGAGGAGCAGCGCCUUUCCAUGGCUGUCACACAGAAAGCUCUCAGGACCCAGGCGCCGUCCUGCUCCUGACACCAUUCUCACACAUGGAGUUGGAAUGUAACUGUGGGCAGCCUGAAAUGUUUCUAAGCAUGUGGAAACAGGUGUAGUAAGUUGGCACUACUGCACAGAAUGCUCCUUAAUAUAAGUUAUGCUAUUAUUCUUCCUUAGCAAUGUGCCACUUCAUGGACUUUAAUAGCCAAGAAAAUAAAUAAUAUUUUUUAUCUAACAAGAGUGUCUUUGAGUAGAAAAAGAGCAGGAAAAUAAGGGAAUGGUAAAUAUAUUUUACCUUUUUAUUCUUUUUUUUUUUUUUUUUUCUCCCGUUUGAUUCUUUGGAGCUCAGCUGGUGUAUAAAAGGAGUUAAUGAUGCUAAUGAGCUUACAUUUACUGUGCCUUUCUUCCUCAAGAGUCCCAAAGGGCAUUACAAGCAGAUAUAAUAAAUUCACUGCUUGUUCUUAAAGGAUACCGAGGAGUAUUGCUCCUGGCUUUGUAUGGAGAAGCAGACAGAAGUCAGCAGAUGCACUGCCUUUCUGCGUAUUCCUGGAAGAGCUAUGCAUCCUGAAGAAGAAGGUUAAGCAGCACUUGGUUUACAUCAGUGGUCCUUUAAUGAUCAGUUAGCUAUUUCCUGCAGUGAGAUCUUCCUUCAGGACAAAGCUCUGCUCUGGCAUGUUGUGAUGCCGCCUCCGGUUCCGUUAGCUUUCACAGCUCAGAGUGUGCGCCGCUGCUGAAGGAGCUGUGGAGCAGUGACAGCCCUCCCCACCAAUUCAUGCAUCAGCCUGGAAACAGCCUUGAGAGCCACCAGCAGACAAUUAGAUUCAUAGCACGUUGAAGGAAACAGCAACAGCUUUUUUUUUUUCUGUUAGAUGGAGAAAUGAAAACUAAAGUUUGAGAUGUUUUUGCAGCCAAAGUUGGUUAUAGGAAAACCAAUAAACCAAUAAAUGUUCCUACAUUAAAGAGAAAAAGAGCAGAAUUUGAAAAGUUUCCAAGUCUACAUUCUUCUUGUUGGUUUUCCAUGACAUUUUAACUAUGAUAAAGAAAUCAAUAUGCUUUCAAUGCUUCAGUGUGAUUUUUUGUUUGACAUCUCCUAUAGCCAUUAACAGAAUACGUGAUACUGCAGUACUCCCAGCCUGAGCACGUUGUGGUGCUGCACAGGAAGGGAUGAGUGUUGCCUUUUCUUAGUCCUCCUCAGGGCUGCUAUGCAACAGUUCAUCAAUGAAGAAGGAAAAGAGCAAAUAAUCCAAAAUGAUUUCUGUUCUUUUUUGGUUUUAAACUACAGUAUGAUUGGCUGCCUCACACUACACUCUCUUUCAAUAUUUAGGCAAAUGCAUUAGGACAAAAUUUCUCCUUGCACUCAUUAACUGAUCUGUUGACACUGUCCUCUUACAGAUCCCUGAGUUUUCAUAUGUUUCACCUGAUUAGAAAAACAUGAGUUCAGAGAGAACAUCAUUUCUGUGAUCCAGUACUAUUUCAGGCAGACCCAAAUCCCCCAGUCAUUGGAAAGCUUUUACUGUUGAACUUCGUUGCUUAUAUGGCUGAAUCAGGCUCAGUAAAUAAAUGUUGGAAAGGUUGAAGAUGAAAUUCAAAAAGAAAAUCAAAGUUUAAUGAUAAAAGUGGGAACUUUUUUGUAAUUACUGUUGUGAUUCUGCAUUUAUUGAGGUCCAUUAGGAAAGCUUAUGAUGGCUCUUGAGUAUAGAUUGCUAUUUCAGACUUGCUUCACAUUUAAAAUUAUAAUACUCUCCCUUUUAACCUUUCUCUCCCUCUGAAGCUUGAGUUCUGCUUUCAAAGGCAAGCGGUGGGUGCUCACAUAGAACGAAGUGAUUUGCUUUUAAGGUUAUUCUUGUUUUGAAACAUAAUUUCCAGCAGCCCUUCUGUUACUAUUAGCGAUAGAAAGACAAGUGAUCUAUAUCACAUAGAAAACUAAAAUGUGAUUGAUACUUGCAUUACUGCUUUUCUGUUUUGUUUUAUUCAAAAGGCAGAGCAAUAUAUAGAAUAUCUAGCAACAUUGAUCGUUGGAGACAGAAGAAGUCAAUAUUUUUUUAAAGGUGAAUUACUUGGAGAAUAGAUUACAUUUAUAUAGCAUGAACCUGGGAGAAAGGAGUAGCUAUUAGUGAGAGACCAUGGAUAAAGCCAUGGAGAAGGCAAAACCACGAGUCAUGCCCAUCCACAUCAAAUCAUUCUAUUUCAGGAUCUCGUGUUUGGCAUGAGAUCCCUAUUAUCUGUGAUCAUCUUCACAAAUUUCUAUGUAUAGUAUAGUAUUCAAACAGAUAAAAGAUCUCAGUAAUCAGUGGUGCUAGAGGUAAGAUAUAAAGACUUCUUUUUUCAUUGUCUGAAACUCUAAUUUGGGAAAAGAAUAAAACCUUUCCUAUUUCACCUAUUAUACAUGAUUUUAAUUACAGAUGUUAAGAAACAUAAAGGGGCAAUGAAGGUCUUAUGAAUGCUUGUUAAACCUUUGCAGACUUUUCAAAUGCUAGGUGGCAUCAGCUUUCAACAUCACUGAUUUUCUACAAUAGUCACCACAGUGAUAUUCUUUUGAUCAUUGCAUUUCAGAAAAUUCUUAGAUGUUUUAUAUUUGUUUUGCAACAUGAUUUAUACAAAAUAUUUUUUUCCUAUUCUUUCUGAUCUUUUUAGUUUUGUAGUAUAGAAAAAUAGCCAUGGUGCUCCUCUUCUUUUUCAUUUCCAAGUUUGAGUAUUUCAUCUGAUUUGGAUUGGCACAUUGACACAAACUGGUGUUCAGGGCUUAAAGUCAAUCCACAUUUGUGACACAGAUAAUCGUCAGGAACAUUGCUCCAGUCAUUGCUUGCACUAGUUUAUUAUUUAAUCAAAAUCUGAAGUUCAAAGGAAAUUAAAAAUCAUGAAGAGUGUGGGCUUGUAAGAACUGAAUUAAGAAUGAAUUUGCUAUGUGGGAAGCCAUAGUAAAUGUUUCAGAGCUGAUAUGGGAAACCCAAUGGAAGACAGAAAACUCCAUUAUUCCCAGUGCUUGGAAACUCCAAGUAAUGGCAAUAGUUCAUAGGUUCAAAAGGUUUUGGAAGCACUGUCAUGCUUAGGAUGGCCCUGAGUGCCUAAUAUACCUUCCCAACACCAGCCUAGAUGGAGACGGCGGUGAUCACCUCUUGCAUUUCCCCAUGAGGCAAAGAAGAGAUGGCAUGUUGUUAUCAAGAGUUUGGUAUCAUUUUCUACAUUUGAUUACCAUUUUUUCCUUGUCUCAGGUUGGCAGAGGCAAUGAAUGACAUCUCAGAAGUUGGCUUUUAACAGCCAGUACAGCUCUAAAGCAAAAUGAAGACAAUGAGGGAAAGAGGGACAAGAGUCAAGAAGGCUUUCAGAAAAAAAGGAAAAAGAAAAGAAAAAAGAAAAAAAGUCAUCAGUGAGGAAGUGGUAAUUCUCUGGAGAGAAUAUAAGAAAAGAAGGACAGCCUAAAGAACAAAAUGAUGUGAGAGCCCCUAGGGGAGGUGUAGACACAGCUUCACGCCUUUUCAGCAGAGAGGAGAAAAUCUGUUGCUAGACUUUUGUUAUCUUUCAGUGUUGUAGUCUCCUUCACCUCACACCAUGUGUGGCCCUUGGGCUUAUUCUCUAGAUUGAAAUGCCAGAAUGUAUUUGCUUGUAAACACUUAAAGUCUUGUGUUGGCUCUGUGUGCUGAGGAUUUUCUCCCUCCCUGUUCCUCAUGAAAUUACUGAACAUGCUGCCUAAACAUACAUUCACUUUUGUGACUAAUGAAGUGCACUCCAAACACUCAUAUGUAUGCUGCUCUUCAUUCCUAUUGCUACGCCUGGGUCACUGUUUUGCCCAUAUGAGAUAUUUGUUUUUCUGUAGUGGGCUGUCCUUUCACUAAUGAAGUAGACUUAUGCUGUCUUCUCACUCUAUUUUUUUUUCUUUUUUUUUUCUUUUUUUUUUUGAGUUAGACCCUGGUUUGUUUUCUGCCUGUUUUUCUGUUCAGUUUAGAGUUUCUCAACUGUAAUUUCAUCUACAGAACUCAUUUACAUGUUCUUUACCUUUCCUUCCAGCUUACUAAUGAAGUUAUUACAACAAGAAACAAGUUCAUAUCUUGCAGUAGACCAACUGCACACCUCCCAACAACACAGUGCAACCCACUGCCAUUUCUCAUCAGCCUGACUUUGUGAUCCUUCAACCUGUUUUCAAUUUACAUGACAGUGCUUAUGUCCAAAGCAAUUUGAAUUCAUUUUGGGAGAUUUAGUGAGACUGUAUUAAAUCCUUUAUUAAAAUCAUGCUGUGUAUCCUUCAUCCAGGAUUUCUGCAGUUCUAUCAAAAAAGCAAUCACGUUUCCUUGGCACGACAUGUUCCUUAUGAACCCAUGCUGCUUAUUGUUUAUAGUUCCAUUAUCCUUUGAAUGUUUAGUGAAGUGUUUUGUUGUUUUUUUUCUCUCCUUAUUUUCUUUUUCCCCUCAGCACUUGUUCUGUUCUUUCUCAAAAUAAAGUAUGCUUGGAAUUAGACUCCUUGUUUAGUAAACUACUCUACUUUUCUUUGUUGAUGUUUGAGGCUAUACUUACUAUGCUAUGUAACUUUUCAGAAAUAAUUUUUAAGGGCUUUGUAUUUUCAUGUGCACUCAGGGAUGUCUUUAACUUGGGGUGUUUGGAUGGAUGCUGCUGUUUUCUUUAUUUCUGCACUAUGAAUAGCAAAUUUCUGCUGUUGACU